UAUGCGAUGCAGGCCUGACGGAAUCAAGUGGAAUAACCACGUGGACUGUAUCGUUUAGAAAAAGCGCCGACCGUCUGGGCAAAGAUA
rnacentral:ncRNA from 2 species